rnacentral:rRNA from 1 species
UGUGGUGCAUGGUUGUUGUCAGCUGUGUUGUGAGAUGUUGGGUUAAGUCCCGCAGCGAGCGCAACCCGUUAUUUUAGUCGCCAGCAUUUAGUUGGGCACUAUAAGGUGACUGCCGGUGACAAACCGGAGGAAGGUGGGGAUGAUGUCAAAUUAUCAUGCCCUUUAUGACCUGGGCUACACACGUGCUACAAUGGGUGGUACAAAGGGCAGCAAAACCGCGAGGUAGACCCAAUCCCAUAAACCCACUCUCAGUUCGGAUUGUAGGGUGCAACUCGCCUACAUGAAGCUGGAAUCGAUAGUAAUCGGGGAUCAGCAUGCCGCGGAGAAUACGUUCCCGGGCCUUGUACACACCGCCUGUCACACCACGAGAGUUUGUAACACCAGAAGUCGGUGGGGUAACCGUAAGGAGCCAGCCGCCUAAGGUGGACAGAUGAUGGGGGG